rnacentral:rRNA from 1 species
AUUGAACGCUGGCGGCAGGCAUAACACAUGCAAGUCGAACGAGUGGCAGACGGGUGAGUCAUGUCUGGGAAACUGCCUGAGGGAGGGGGAUAACUACUGGAAACGGUAGCUAAUACCGCAUACCAUCAGAUGUGCCCCGAUGGGAUUAGCUUGUUGGUGGGGUAACGGCUAACCAAGGCGACGAUCCCUAGAUGGUCUGAGAGGAUGAACAGCCAAACGGGAACGUAGACACGGUUCAGACUCUUACGGGAGGCAGCAGGGGGCAAUAUUGCACACUGGGGGAAAGCCUGAUGCAGCCAUGCCGCGUGUAUGCAGAAGGCCUUCGGGUUGUAAAGUACUUUCAGCGGGUAGGCGUUACCCGCAGAAGAAGCACCGGCUAACUCCGUGCCAGCCGCCGCGGUAAUUC